rnacentral:rRNA from 1 species
CGCUAACGCUGGCGGCAGGCCUAACACAUGCAAGUCGAACGAACUCUUCGGAGUUAGUGGCGGACGGGUGAGUAACACGUGGGAACGUGCCUUUUGGUUCGGAAUAACUCAGGGAAACUUGUGCUAAUACCGCAUGUGCCCUUCGGGGGAAAGAUUUAUCGCCAUUAGAGCGGCCCGCGUCUGAUUAGCUAGUUGGUGAGGUAACGGCUCACCAAGGCGACGAUCAGGAGCUGGUCUGAGAGGAUGACCAGCCACACUGGGACUGAGACACGGCCCAGACUCCUACGGGAGGCAGCAGUGGGGAAUCUUGCGCAAUGGGCGAAAGCCUGACGCAGCCAUGCCGCGUGAAUGAUGAAGGUCUUAGGAUUGUAAAAUUCUUUCACCGGGGACGAUAAUGACGGUACCCGGAGAAGAAGCCCCGGCUAACUUCGUG